ensembl:snRNA U2 U2 spliceosomal RNA
AUCACUUCUUGGCCUUUUGGCUAAGAUCAAGUGUAGUAUCUGUUAUUACCAAGUUAUACUCCUGCCAAUGUACCUGAGAGAAUCUCUUAUACAUGUGUAUAAGAACAUAUAUUCAUGAAUAUAUAUUUCAGCAUUU